rfam:Paraburkholderia phenazinium strain GAS95 genome assembly, contig: Ga0132017_11
GGUCAAGCGAACAAGUGCAUGUGGUGGAUGCCUUGGCGAUCACAGGCGAUGAAGGACGCGGUAGCCUGCGAAAAGCUACGGGGAGCUGGCAAACGAGCUUUGAUCCGUAGAUGUCCGAAUGGGGAAACCCACUCCGAAUGGAGUAUCCAUGACUGAAUCCAUAGGUCAUGCGAAGCGAACGCGGCGAACUGAAACAUCUAAGUAGCCGCAGGAAAAGAAAUCAACCGAGAUUCCCAGAGUAGUGGCGAGCGAAAUGGGACCAGCCUGUACUCUUUAUCUUUACUGUUAGUCGAAGGCUCUGGAAAGUGCCGCCAUAGCAGGUGAUAGCCCUGUAGACGAAAGCAGUUUGGAAGAACUAGGUGUACGACAAGUAGGGCGGGACACGUGAAAUCCUGUCUGAAGAUGGGGGGACCAUCCUCCAAGGCUAAAUACUCGUGAUCGACCGAUAGUGAACCAGUACCGUGAGGGAAAGGCGAAAAGAACCCCGGGAGGGGAGUGAAACAGAUCCUGAAACCGCAUGCAUACAAACAGUCGGAGCCUCGCAAGGGGUGACGGCGUACCUUUUGUAUAAUGGGUCAGCGACUUACAUUCAGUGGCAAGCUUAACCGAUUAGGGCAGGCGUAGCGAAAGCGAGUCCGAACAGGGCGUUCAGUCGCUGGGUGUAGACCCGAAACCAGGUGAUCUAUCCAUGGCCAGGAUGAAGGUGCGGUAACACGUACUGGAGGUCCGAACCCACUAACGUUGAAAAGUUAGGGGAUGAGCUGUGGAUAGGGGUGAAAGGCUAAACAAACCUGGAAAUAGCUGGUUCUCUCCGAAAACUAUUUAGGUAGUGCCUCGUGUAUCACCUUCGGGGGUAGAGCACUGUCAUGGUUGAAGGGUCCAUUGCGGAUUACUUCGCCAUAGCAAACUCCGAAUACCGAAGAGUGCAAUCACGGGAGACAGACAUCGGGUGCUAACGUCCGGUGUCAAGAGGGAAACAACCCAGACCGCCAGCUAAGGUCCCCAAAUAUUGCUAAGUGGGAAACGAAGUGGGAAGGCUAAAACAGUCAGGAGGUUGGCUUAGAAGCAGCCAUCCUUUAAAGAAAGCGUAAUAGCUCACUGAUCGAGUCGUCCUGCGCGGAAGAUGUAACGGGGCUAAGCAAUAUACCGAAGCUGCGGAUGCACAUUUAUGUGCAUGGUAGGAGAGCGUUCCGUAAGCCUGCGAAGGUGCAUUGAAAAGUGUGCUGGAGGUAUCGGAAGUGCGAAUGCUGACAUGAGUAGCGAUAAAGGGGGUGAAAGGCCCCCUCGCCGUAAGCCCAAGGUUUCCUACGCAACGUUCAUCGGCGUAGGGUGAGUCGGCCCCUAAGGCGAGGCAGAAAUGCGUAGCUGAUGGGAAGCAGGUUAAUAUUCCUGCACCAUUGUUAAAUGCGAUGGGGGGACGGAUCGCGGAAGGUUGUCCGGGUGUUGGAAGUCCCGGUCGCUGCAUUGGAGAAGGUGCUUUGGCAAAUCCGGGCACGGAAUUCAAGGGUGUGGCGCCAUUCACUUAGGUGAAGAAGCAACUGGAAGUGGUUCCAAGAAAAGCCUCUAAGCUUCAGUUUAACAAGACCGUACCGCAAACCGACACAGGUGGGCGAGAUGAGUAUUCUAAGGCGCUUGAGAGAACUCGGGAGAAGGAACUCGGCAAAUUGGUACCGUAACUUCGGGAUAAGGUACGCCCCUGUAGCCUGACUGGCCUGCGCCAGAAGGGUGAAGGGGUUGCAAUAAACUGGUGGCUGCGACUGUUUAAUAAAAACACAGCACUCUGCAAACACGAAAGUGGACGUAUAGGGUGUGACGCCUGCCCGGUGCCGGAAGAUUAAAUGAUGGGGUGCAAGCUCUUGAUUGAAGUCCCGGUAAACGGCGGCCGUAACUAUAACGGUCCUAAGGUAGCGAAAUUCCUUGUCGGGUAAGUUCCGACCUGCACGAAUGGCGUAACGAUGGCCACACUGUCUCCUCCCGAGACUCAGCGAAGUUGAAGUGUUUGUGAUGAUGCAAUCUCCCCGCGGCUAGACGGAAAGACCCCAUGAACCUUUACUGUAGCUUUGCAUUGGACUUUGAACCGGUCUGUGUAGGAUAGGUGGGAGGCUUUGAAGCGUGGACGCCAGUCUGCGUGGAGCCAACCUUGAAAUACCACCCUGGUUUGUUUGAGGUUCUAACCUUGGCCCGUGAUCCGGGUCGGGGACAGUGCAUGGUAGGCAGUUUGACUGGGGCGGUCUCCUCCCAAAGUGUAACGGAGGAGUACGAAGGUACGCUAGGUACGGUCGGAAAUCGUGCUGAUAGUGCAAUGGCAUAAGCGUGCUUAACUGCGAGACCGACAAGUCGAGCAGGUGCGAAAGCAGGUCAUAGUGAUCCGGUGGUUCUGUAUGGAAGGGCCAUCGCUCAACGGAUAAAAGGUACUCUGGGGAUAACAGGCUGAUACCGCCCAAGAGUUCAUAUCGACGGCGGUGUUUGGCACCUCGAUGUCGGCUCAUCUCAUCCUGGGGCUGUAGCCGGUCCCAAGGGUAUGGCUGUUCGCCAUUUAAAGAGGUACGUGAGCUGGGUUUAAAACGUCGUGAGACAGUUUGGUCCCUAUCUGCCGUGGGCGCUGGAUAUUUGAAGGGGGCUGCUCCUAGUACGAGAGGACCGGAGUGGACGAACCUCUGGUGUACCGGUUGUCACGCCAGUGGCAUCGCCGGGUAGCUAUGUUCGGAAGAGAUAACCGCUGAAAGCAUCUAAGCGGGAAACUCGCCUUAAGAUGAGAUAUCCCCGGGGCUUCGAGCCCCUUGAAGGGUCGUUCAAGACCAGGACGUUGAUAGGUCAGGUGUGGAAGCGCAGUAAUGCGUUAAGCUAACUGAUACUAAUUGCCCGUAAGGCUUGAUCCU